CCUUGCCUCUGGCUGCGGACCUUUAGCAAUACAGGCAAGGACGGGGGAACCAAAACCGGCUGUCCAUCUGGACAGUCUUGGGGUGAAGUUCUUGGUCAAGAUGGCUCUGCCAUCGCGCCCAGGGACCGGAUUGCUCUCUAAUCCGAAUCCGACAGCUAACCUCGCAAGUGUUGAGAGAGGAAGA
rnacentral:sRNA from 2 species